CUGGUAUAUGGUCUGGGACAGAGUAAAGCUAUAUGUAGUGAAUGUAGAAGAAAGGGAACAUGCCACAGUGUUAGAGAGACCAAAGUCAGCAUUACCUUAAAGGAUCACUAUAGGGUCAGGAACAUGAAUUCAUGACCCUAUAGUAUUAACACCACCAUCUAGCCCCCCUGGACCCCUCAUGCCUCCAUAAAUAUAGCAAAAUCUAUAAUCAAGCCUGAAGCUGUAACUCGGCAUGCUGUUAGACUCAUAAAAACAAGCAGUCUGCUGACAUCAUUAGAAGUGGUGGCCUGAUCCAAUCACAGUGCUUCCCCAUAGGAUUGGCUGAGACUGACAAAGAGGCAGAUCAGGGUCAGAGCCAGUAUGAUUCAAACACAGCCCUGGCCAAUCAGCAUCUCCUUAUAUAGAUGAAUUUCAUUAAUGAAUCUCUAUGAGGAAAGUUCAGUGUCUGCAUGCAGAGG